CACGUAGGGGGCGAGCGUUGUCCGGAUUUAUUGGGCGUAAAGAGCUCGUAGGCGGUUUGUCGCGUCUGCUGUGAAAACCCGAGGCUCAACCUCGGGCCUGCAGUGGGUACGGGCAGACUAGAGUGCGGUAGGGGAGAUUGGAAUUCCUGGUGUAGCGGUGGAAUGCGCAGAUAUCAGGAGGAACACCGAUGGCGAAGGCAGAUCUCUGGGCCGUAACUGACGCUGAGGAGCGAAAGCAUGGGUAGCGAACAGG
rnacentral:rRNA from 1 species